CGCAUCACGCUGAAUCGUCCCUCGUCUUCUCCCAACCAGAGAGUACUCCAAAGAGCGUAAAAACCCAACCCUAAACCCCAAAAACACUAGAGACAACCAGCAAAUCCAACCAUGGUGUGCAUAAGGAAGGCGACAAUAGAUGACCUACUGGCGAAGCGAUGCAGGCCUGUAACCUGCUAUGCCUGCCGGAAAACUACCAGAUGAAGUAUUAUUUCUACCAUAUUCUCUCCUGGCCGCAGCUCCUCUACGUCGCCGAAGACUACAACGGCCGCAUUGUCGGCUACGUCUUGGCCAAGAUGGAGGAAGAAUCCAAUGAAUGCCAUGGUCAUAUAACCUCCCUCGCCGUUCUUCGCACCCACCGCAAGUUGGGCCUCGCAACUAAGCUCAUGAACGCUGCACAGACCGCCAUGGAACAGGUGUUUGGUGCAGAGUAUGUCUCACUGCAUGUUAGGAAGAGUAACCGGGCAGCAUUUAAUCUCUACACAGAAACAUUGGGUUAUAAGAUUCAUGAUGUGGAGGCAAAGUAUUAUGCAGAUGGAGAGGAUGCAUAUGAUAUGCGGAAGCAGCUUAAAGGGAAACAGAUUCAUCAUCACGGACAUCAUCAUCAUCAUCAUCAUCAUCAUGGUGGUGGGUGUUGUGCAGCUGAUACCAAGUCUGUGGAAGCAAGACCAGACUCAAAAUCAGAGGCAAAAGCCAGCACAAAAUCAGAAUCAAAAGCAGGGUGAUGGUGAAAAGUAUACCCAGUAUUUGGAUAACAGGGCAAUGAUCUCUUGUUAAGUGAUUCAGGUUGUAAUGAGAAUUAUAAUUGUAGUUUGUUUCUGGUGGUAAUAAUGCAGCGAAGGACCUGGAUUUGUAUGGC
rnacentral:misc_RNA from 1 species